ncrna:unclassified sequences DTF3800-VIII RNA
AAUCCCCUGAUCUGACCGAAGCCCAACGCACCGCGCCGGGUACACAGGUAGGCAGAUCGGGGAUUU